AAUUAUAAAGGUGGCGCAGGCGUCCAACAAGCAGGCGAAGCGUUGACAAAGCCAGGAAAACAACAUGAAAUGUGGUUACUGUGUUUACAUUUCUGUCGGCUACGACUGCUACGACUCCUAGUUAAACGGUUGAACAUUCUUCGGUUCUGCAGUCAAGUAUAGGCAACGAUCGAACGUCGUUGGUGUGAUCGCAAUGUCCGUGUGACGGGGAUCGAAUGUGACCAUAGAAGGUGCCUAGCCAAGGUCCGGAUCGCAGUGAAUGUAUACGCGCCCUCGAAUCGGGGUCACCCGUUCUCACCAUUGAAGGUCCCUGCACAUCCGCAAAGCUCGCGGGAAAUGCUCCUUGUACACAACCCGGCGCUGCUUGGAAGAUGCACGUAUGAGUCAGCUGCUGUCGACAUGCUGUGCUACAGCACACCAACAGAGCCAAUCAUUCUGCCGCAUCUGAUGGUCUGCCAAAGGGCCCAGGCAGUCACUCUCAGACUUCUGCAAACAAGCACUUACCCGAGCCCCGCGGCGCUGCACACAAUGUACCCCGAACGGUUCCCAAGCCCGGACUGCCCUCUGUGUGGUGAUUAUGCGGACUUCGAACAUGUCCUGUGGGGCUGCGCCUCUGCCGGUCCCCCUUUCACUCACGAGGAAAUUAUGAAGCUAAUUAGGGCCCAAGAUCCGACCUCUCAAAUCCUGGCAGUCCAGAGGGCUCGCGACAGGGCCGUCAGGUUCCACCUGAUGGUCCCCGAGUGGGCCUAGCCAGGUGGUGUGGAGUUUACUUACGCCUAUAGUGGACAAAAUAAAGUUG